UGUCUUGUCUUCUGCUGAGUCAGCUAUGGGAGAGAUCAGCCUGGAUUCCCAGUUUCUUCAGGACCCCACCUUGAUGAUUUGAGACCCCAAUGAGUCCCGACACUUUGGGAACCACUGUUCUAGAUGACCGACCCAUUGCCUGUUGGAGCCGCUGGAGCCACAUUAUUAUAUCCUCCCAACACAGUGAGAUGUUAAUAAAUUGCCAUCACCUGUUUUUUUUUAUUUUGUAUUUUUUUUUAUUUUUUAUAAUAAAAACCUAUUUGAGGAACAAAAUACAGACAGGUUUUGUUUACUGCAGUGCAGCCAUAAAACACAAGAUCAGUACUUUCAGGAUGUUGCGAUUGCAACUUGACUGUUUAUGUUCUUCGCCUUUCUUUUGUGCCCAAUGUCAUCAAUCAGAACUCUGACAAAAUCACCAGACUGUCCCUUUAACCCUAAUAUGAAUGUAAAAGCUGUACUUUUUGUUCAGCAUAAACAAAUGUCCUCACCCUUUCAGUCCAACCCUCACAGAUGAGAACAAUCUGACAUCUCAUUCCCUGAAAUUAUAGGAGGUCAGAAAAGAAAAGUCAGCCACAAAGUCUGGUCAGUCAGUCUGCAACAAURUUCAUCUGGAGACACAAGUGAAGCCUUUUAAAUAAAAUGCCUACCUUUCCUGCCCUGGAGCAGCAGUUUCAACGCCCGCAGAGAGGGAAGAAUGCCUUUAUCCUCGGACUGCUCUUGCA